GAUGAACGCUGGCGGCGUGCCUAAUACAUGCAAGUCGAGCGAACAGACGAGGAGCUUGCUCCUCUGACGUUAGCGGCGGACGGGUGAGUAAAACGUGGAUAACCUACCUAUAAGACUGGGAUAACUUCGGGAAACCGGAGCUAAUACCGGAUAAUAUAUUGAACCGCAUGGUUCAAUAGUGAGAGACGGUUUUGCUGUCACUUAUAGAUGGAUCCGCGCCGCAUUAGCUAGUUGGUAAGGUAACGGCUUACCAAGGCAACGAUGCGUAGCCGACCUGAGAGGGUGAUCGGCCACACUGGAGCUGAGACACGGUCCAGACUCCUACGGGAGGCAGCAGUAGGGAAUCUUCCGCAAUGGGCGAAAGCCUGACGGAGCAACGCCGCGUGAGUGAUGAAGGUCUUCGGAUCGUAAAACUCUGUUAUUAGGGAAGAACAAAUGUGUAAGUAACUAUGCACGUCUUGACGGUACCUAAUCAGAAAGCCACGGCUAACUACGUG
rnacentral:rRNA from 1 species